rnacentral:rRNA from 1 species
GGGCCCGCACAAGCGGUGGAGUAUGUGGUUUAAUUCGAUGCAACGCGAAGAACCUUACCAGGGUUUGACAUCCUGCGAAUCUCUUGGAAACAGGAGAGUGCCUUCGGGAACGCAGUGACAGGUGGUGCAUGGCUGUCGUCAGCUCGUGUCGUGAGAUGUUGGGUUAAGUCCUAUAACGAGCGCAACCCCUGUGGUUAGUUGCCAGCGAGUAAUGUCGGGAACUCUAGCCAGACUGCCGGUGCAAACCGCGAGGAAGGUGGGGAUGACGUCAAAUCAUCACGGCCCUUACGUCCUGGGCUACACACGUGCUACAAUGGUAGGGACAAAGGGCAGCAAGUUCGCGAGGACAAGCAAAUCCCAUAAACCGUGGCUCAGUUCAGAUCGUAGGCUGCAACUCGCCUACGUGAAGGCGGAAUCGCUAGUAAUCG